ACAACUGAAGUGAAGUCUGUUGAAAUGCACCAUGAAGCUUUGAGUGAAGCCCUUCCUGGGGACAACGUGGGCUUCAAUGUCAAAAAUGUGUCUGUCAAAGAUGUUCGCCGUGGCAAUGUUGCUGGUGACAGCAAAAAUGAUCCACCAAUGGAAGCAGCUGGCUUCACCGCUCAGGUGAUUAUCCUGAACCAUCCAGGCCAAAUCAGUGCUGGCUAUGCCCCUGUACUGGAUUGUCACACGGCUCACAUUGCAUGCAAGUUUGCUGAGCUGAAGGAAAAGAUUGAUCGCCGUUCUGGUAAGAAGCUGGAAGAUGGCCCUAAAUUCUUGAAGUCUGGUGAUGCUGCCAUCGUUGAUAUGGUUCCUGGCAAGCCCAUGUGUGUGGAGAGUUUCUCUGACUAUCCUCCUCUGGGUCGUUUUGCCGUCCGUGAUAUGAGGCAGACAGUUGCUGUGGGUGUCAUCAAAGCAGUGGACAAGAAGGCUGCCGGAGCUGGCAAGGUCACCAAGUCUGCCCAGAAAGCUCAGAAGGCUAAAUGAAUAUUAUCCCCAAUACCUGCCACCCCAGUCUUAAUCAGUGGUGGAAGAACGGUCUCAGAACUGUUUGUUUCAAUUGGCCAUUUAAGUUUAAUAGUAAAAGACUGGUUAAUGAUAACAAUGCAUCGGAAAACUUUCAGAA